UUUAUUGGAGAGUUUGAUCCUGGCUCAGGAUGAACGCUGGCGGCGUGCCUAAUACAUGCAAGUCGAGCGAAUGGAUUAAGAGCUUGCUCUUAUGAAGUUAGCGGCGGACGGGUGAGUAACACGUGGGUAACCUGCCCAUAAGACUGGGAUAACUCCGGGAAACCGGGGCUAAUACCGGAUAAUAUUUUGAACUGCAUGGUUCAAAAUUGAAAGGCGGCUUCGGCUGUCACUUAUGGAUGGACCCGCGUCGCAUUAGCUAGUUGGUGAGGUAACGGCUCACCAAGGCAACGAUGCGUAGCCGACCUGAGAGGGUGAUCGGCCACACUGGGACUGAGACA
rnacentral:rRNA from 1 species